rfam:Spinacia oleracea cultivar SynViroflay scaffold10068.con0017.1, whole genome shotgun sequence.
UAAGAUGCGUAAAGAAAUAGCUGAAUUUGUUGUUUUUGGUGAAAAUCAAAAGAACAAAAGGCAGCAGCGGCCAGACAACCGUAGUGAUGGAUCCACAGAUGGGGUUGCUAAUUCUUGCUCCUUGUCUACUAAAUCCUUCUCACAUUU